rnacentral:rRNA from 1 species
UACAGAGGGGGCAAGCGUUGUUCGGAAUUACUGGGCGUAAAGGGCGCGUAGGCGGCCCGCUAAGUCGAACGUGAAAUCCCCGAGCUCAACUCGGGAACUGCGUCCGAUACUGGCGGGCUUGAAUCCGGGAGAGGGAUGCGGAAUUCCGAGGUGUAGCGGUGAAAUGCGUAGAUAUCUGGAGGAACACCGGUGGCGAAGGCGGCAUCCUGGACCGGCAUUGACGCUGAGGCGCGAAAGCUAGGGGAGCAAACGGG